rnacentral:rRNA from 1 species
UACGUAGGGGGCAAGCGUUGUCCGGAUUUAUUGGGCGUAAAGCGCGUGUAGGCGGCUUUGCAAGUCGGGUGUGAAAGCCCUCAGCUCAACUGAGGAAGUGCGCCCGAAACUGCAGAGCUUGAGUACCGGAGAGGAUGGUGGAAUUCCCCAAGUAGAGGUGAAAUUCGUAGAUAUCGAGAGGAACACCGGUGGCGAAGGCGGCGAUCUGGACGAUGACUGACGCUGAGACGCGAAAGCGUGGGGAGCAAACAGG